rnacentral:rRNA from 1 species
CAGCCGCCGCGGUAAUCCGAAGGGGGCUAGCGUUGCUCGGAAUGACUGGGCGUAAAGGGCGCGUAGGCGGAUGGCACAGUCAGAUGUGAAAUUCCCGGGCUUAACCUGGGGGCUGCAUUUGAUACGUGUUGUCUAGAGUGAGGAAGAGGGUCGUGGAAUUCCCAGUGUAGAGGUGAAAUUCGUAGAUAUUGGGAAGAACACCGGUGGCGAAGGCGGCGACCUGGUCCUUUACUGACGCUGAGGCGCGAAAGCGUGAGGAGCAAACAGGAUUAGAUACCCCCGUAGUCCCUGUCUCUUAUAC